rnacentral:ncRNA from 1 species
AAAAAAUUAGAGUGUUCAAAGCAGGCCGGCUGCUGGAAUACUGCAGCUAGGAAUAAUGGAAUAGGACUCCGGUUCUAUUUUGUUGGUUUUCGGAAACGGGGCCAUGAUUAAGAGGGACGGCCGGGGGCAUU